rnacentral:lncRNA from 1 species
CUAACACUUCAAAAAAUAUGCUCUUCAAGCUUCAAACUGUAUAGAAAAAUAUUUUUUCUUUUUUUUCUUUUCAGCACUUGCUACUAGCAAUAAAGUUUGUCAUGGCGUUUGUAAUUCCUGAUAAACCAAGAGAGAUACAGAUAAAGCUGGCCAAAUUGGAAUUUGAAUCUCUAGAGGCUCUCAAACAGCAGCAAAUGAAACUCGCUGCUGAGUCACUGAAGGAGUAAACACAGAGGAACG